rnacentral:rRNA from 1 species
AGUGAACGCUGGCGGUAGGCCUAACACAUGCAAGUCGAACGGCAGCACAGUAAGAGCUUGCUCUUACGGGUGGCGAGUGGAAGACGGGUGUGGAAUGCAUCGGACUCUACUUUUUCGGGGGGGAUAACGUAGGGAAACUUACGCUAAUACCGCAUACGACCUACGGGUGAAAGCAGGGGAUCUUCGGACCUUGCGCGAUUGAAUGAGCCGCGGUCGGUUUAGCUAGUUGGCGGGGUAAAGGCCCACCAAGGCGACGAUCCGUAGCUGGUCUGAGAGGAUGAUCAGCCACACUGGAACUGAGACACGGUCCAGACUCCUCCGGGAGGCAGCAGUGGGGAAUAUUGGACAAUGGGCGCAAGCCGGAUCCAGCCAUCCCGCGUGGGUGAAGAAGGCCUUCGGGUUGUAAAGCCCUUUUGUUGGGAAAGAAAGGCUGCAGGUUAAUACCGCGCUGUUCUGACGGUACCCAAAUAAUAAGCACCGGCUAACUUCGUG